AACAAACGCUGGCGGCGUGCCUAACACAUGCAAGUCGUACGAGAAAGGGUCCUUCGGGGCCUGAGUAAAGUGGCGCACGGGUGAGUAACGCGUGGAUAAUCUGCCCUUCAGUUGGGAAUAACUCAUCGAAAGGUGGGCUAAUACCGAAUAAUGCUGUGAGACCUCGGUUGAUCAGCCAAAGAGAGCCUCUGCUUGCAAGCCCUCGCUGAAGGAUGAGUCCGCGUACCAUUAGCUAGUUGGUAGGGCAAUGGCCUACCAAGGCGACGAUGGUUAGCUGGUCUGAGAGGAUGAUCAGCCACACUGGAACUGAGACACGGUCCAGACUCCUACGGGAGGCAGCAGUGAGGAAUCUUGCGCAAUGGGGGCAACCCUGACGCAGCAACGCCGCGUGAGUGAGGAAGGUCUUCGGAUCGUAAAGCUCUGUCGGAUGGAAAGAACCGCAUAGGGGUAAACAGCCCCUGUGUCUGACGGUACCAUCAAAGGAAGCACCGGCUAACUCCGUGCCAGCAGCCGCCGCCGUAA
rnacentral:rRNA from 1 species